GAUGAACGCUGGCGGCGUGCCUAAUACAUGCAAGUCGAGCGAACAGACGAGGAGCUUGCUCCUCUGACGUUAGCGGCGGACGGGUGAGUAACACGUGGAUAACCUACCUAUAAGACUGGGAUAACUUCGGGAAACCGGAGCUAAUACCGGAUAACAUGUUGAACCGCAUGGUUCAAUAGUGAAAGACGGCCUUGCUGUCACUUAUAGAUGGAUCCGCGCCGCAUUAGCUAGUUGGUAAGGUAACGGCUUACCAAGGCAACGAUGCGUAGCCGACCUGAGAGGGUGAUCGGCCACACUGGAACUGAGACACGGUCCAGACUCCUACGGGAGGCAGCAGUAGGGAAUCUUCCGCAAUGGGCGAAAGCCUGACGGAGCAACGCCGCGUGAGUGAAGAAGGUCUUCGGAUCGUAAAACUCUGUUAUUAGGGAAGAACAAAUGUGUAAGUAACUAUGCACGUCUUGACGGUACCUAAUCAGAAAGCCACGGCUAACUACGUG
rnacentral:rRNA from 1 species